AUUGAACGCUGGCGGCAGGCCUAACACAUGCAAGUCGAACGAGUGGCGGACGGGUGAGUAAUGUCUGGGAACCUGCCUGAUGGAGGGGGAUAACUACUGGAAACGGUGGCUAAUACCGCAUACCAUCGGAUGUGCCCAGAUGGGAUUAGCUAGUAGGUGGGGUAAAGGCUCACCUAGGCGACGAUCCCUAGCUGGUCUGAGAGGAUGACCAGCCACACUGGGACUUAGACACGGCCCAGACUCCUACGUGAGGCAGCAGUGGGGAAUAUUGCACAAUUGGCGCAAGCCUGAUGCAGCCAUUCCGCGUGUAUGAAGAAGGCCUUCGGGUUGUAAAGUAAUUUCAGCGGGGAGGCGUUACCCGCAGAAGAAGCACCGGCUAACUCCGUGCCAGCAGCCGCGGUAAUUC
rnacentral:rRNA from 1 species